CCGCACUCCUUUAAACCCCCCGUGAGCUGCGUCUAGCUCCUGGGACAAGAAGGAAUGCAAGAGAAAACCAAGAACUUUCCAAAGCUACGUGUCUUCACAGUGACUAUUAGCUAUUUCACCUCUUGAACAUUG